rnacentral:rRNA from 1 species
UCUCCUGGGGAAACGGGUGGUAAUGCCGGAUGCUCCAGUUGAUCGCAUGGUCUUCUGGGAAAGCUUUCGCGGUAUGGGAUGGGGUCGCGUCCUAUCAGCUUGACGGCGGGGUAACGGCCCACCGUGGCUUCGACGGGUAGCCGGCCUGAGAGGGCGACCGGCCACAUUGGGACUGAGAUACGGCCCAGACUCCUACGGGAGGCAGCAGUGGGGAAUAUUGCACAAUGGGCGCAAGCCUGAUGCAGCGACGCCGCGUGAGGGAUGGAGGCCUUCGGGUUGUAAACCUCUUUUAUCGGGGAGCAAGCGAGAGUGAGUUUACCCGUUGAAUAAGCACCGGCUAACUACGUGCCAGCAGCCGCGGUAAUACGUAGGGUGCAAGCGUUAUCCGGAAUUAUUGGGCGUAAAGGGCUCGUAGGCGGUUCGUCGCGUCCGGUGUGAAAGUCCAUCGCUUAACGGUGGAUCCGCGCCGGGUACGGGCGGGCUUGAGUGCGGUAGGGGAGACUGGAAUUCCCGGUGUAACGGUGGAAUGUGUAGAUAUCGAAAA